AUUGAACGCUGGCGGCAUGCUUUACACAUGCAAGUCGAACGGUAACAGGUCUUCGGAUGCUGACGAGUGGCGAACGGGUGAGUAAUACAUCGGAACGUGCCUAGUAGUGGGGGAUAACUACUCGAAAGAGUAGCUAAUACCGCAUGAGAUCUACGGAUGAAAGCAGGGGACCUUCGGGCCUUGUGCUACUAGAGCGGCCGAUGGCAGAUUAGGUAGUUGGUGGGGUAAAGGCUUACCAAGCCUGCGAUCUGUAGCUGGUCUGAGAGGACGACCAGCCACACUGGGACUGAGACACGGCCCAGACUCCUACGGGAGGCAGCAGUGGGGAAUUUUGGACAAUGGGCGAAAGCCUGAUCCAGCAAUGCCGCGUGCAGGAUGAAGGCCCCCGGGUUGUAAACUGCUUUUGUACGGAACGAAAAGCCUGGGGCUAAUAUCCCCGGGUCAUGACGGUACCGUAAGAAUAAGCACCGGCUAACUACGUGCCAGCCGCCGCCGUAAUAC
rnacentral:rRNA from 1 species